rnacentral:rRNA from 1 species
AGUGAACGCUGGCGGCGUGCUUAACACAUGCAAGUCGAACGAGAACGGUCCUUCGGGAUGUCAGCUAAGUGGCGGACGGGUGAGUAAUGUAUAGUUAAUCUGCCCUUUAGAGGGGGAUAACAGUUGGAAACGACUGCUAAUACCCCAUACUCCUUUUAUCUUAAUGGUAAUUGGGAAACGUUUUUUCGCUAAAGGAUGAGACUAUAUGGUAUCAGGUAGUUGGUGGGGUAAGAGCCUACCAAGCCAAUGACGCCUAGCUGGUCUGAGAGGAUGAUCAGCCACACUGGAACUGAGACACGGUCCAGACUCCUACGGGAGGCAGCAGUGGGGAAUAUUGCACAAUGGAGGAAACUCUGAUGCAGCAACGCCGCGUGGAGGAUGACGCAUUUCGGUGUGUAAACUCCUUUUAUAUGGGAAGAUAAUGACGGUACCAUAUGAAUAAGCACCGGCUAACUCCGUG